AGAGUUUGAUCCUGGCUCAGAACGAACGUUGGCGGCNUGCUUAACACAUGCAAGUCUUUCUNUAAAGUUCCUUCGGGAAUGAGUAAAGUGGCGCACGGGUGAGUAACGCGUAAGUAAUCUACCCUUGCAUCUGGAAUAACUACGGGAAGCUGUAGCUUAAUACCAGAUACGUUCUCUAUUUUGCGAAAUAGAGAAGAAAGAUGACCUCUUCUUGAAAGUUAUCGUGCAGGGAGGAGCUUGCGUACCAUUAGCUAGUUGGUAGGGUAAUGGCCUACCAAGGCAACGAUGGUUAGCGGGUCUGAGAGGAUGAUCCGCCACACUGGAACUGGAACACGGACCAGACUCCUACGGGAGGCAGCAGUGAGGAAUAUUGCGCAAUGGGGGAAACCCUGACGCAGCGACGCCGCGUGGAUGAUGAAGGCCUUAGGGUCGUAAAAUCCUGUCAGAUGGGAAGAAAUGUAUGAGGGAAUAAUACCCCUUGUAUUUGACGGUACCAUCAAAGGAAGCACCGGCUAACUCCGUGCCAGCAGCCGCGGUAAUACAAGGGCGA
rnacentral:rRNA from 1 species